rnacentral:misc_RNA from 1 species
ACACCUCAACUCUCAUGGCUUGCCAUGAUGAGCUUGGACUUUGGGGGUCUUGCUGGCCUGCGGUCGGCUCCUCUCAAAUGAAUCAGCUUGCCAGUGUUUGGUGGCAUCACAGGUGUGAUAACUAUCUGCGCUUGUGGUGUUUCCAUCAGAUAACCUCUAGUGAUAGAGGUUCGCUGGAGCUCAUAAAUGUCUCUCCUAAGUGAGGACAGGUCUUUUAAU